CUCCAGUGACGACUUCCAAUUUGAGCCACGUGUCUUGGCCACUGAUAUACUCUGAUGGGAUUUAGAAACUGAUGAG